AAACGAUCCUCGGAUCUCUGCAUUUGAACCCCAGAAAAUGCCUCAGCACUCCUUCUUUGCCAAAAUAAUGAACCCCAUCUCCAGUUUGAACCCCAGUCGCCUGACGAUAACUCGCGAUCGCCAAUAUGAACCCCGUUCUCCAGAAAAUGUCGCAACAUCUCCUUUUCUCCAUUUGAACCCCAGAAAAUGCCUCAGCAUCUCUUUUCUCCAUUUGAACCCCAGGAAAAUGCCUCAGCAUACCCUUUUCUCCAAUCUCUCGUGAUAAUUCCGCUGGCAACAUCGGAAAUUACACCACACCACUCUGAG
rnacentral:lncRNA from 1 species